rnacentral:rRNA from 1 species
UUGGAGGGCAAGUCUGGUGCCAGCAGCCGCGGUAAUUCCAGCUCCAAUAGCGUAUAUUAAAGUUGUUGCAGUUAAAAAGCUCGUAGUUGAAUUUCGAGACCGGCUUAUUGGUCGUGCUAUUGUACGUACUGGUAUAAUCGGUUUCUCCUUUCUGACGAACUAUGAUGCCAUUAAUUUGGUGUUAUAGGGAAUCAGGACUGUUACUUUGAAAAAAUUAGAGUGUUUAAAGCAGGCUCACGCUUGAAUACAUUAGCAUGGAAUAACGGAAUAGGACGUUUGAUUCUAUUUUGUUGGUUUCUAGGAUCGACGUAAUGAUUAAUAGGGAUAGUUGGGGGCAUUAGUAUUCAAUUGUCAGAGGUGAAAUUCUUGGAUUUAUUGAAGACUAACUACUGCGAAAGCAUUUGCCAAGGAUGUUUUCAUUAAUCAAGAACGAAAGUUAGGGGAUCGAAGACGAUCAGAUACCGUCGUAGUCUUAACCAUAAACUAUGCCGACUAGGGAUCGGACGAAGUUAAUUUUAUAAUGACGCGUUCGGCGCCUUACGGGAAAC